CCUACGGGUGGCAGCAGUGGGGAAUAUUGGACAAUGGGGGCAACCCUGAUCCAGCCAUGCCGCGUGUGUGAAGAAGGCCCUCGGGUUGUAAAGCACUUUCAGUGAGGAAGAACGCCUGGUGGUUAAUACCCAUCAGGAAAGACAUCACUCACAGAAGAAGCACCGGCUAACUCCGUGCCAGCAGCCGCGGUAAUACGGAGGGUGCGAGCGUUAAUCGGAAUUACUGGGCGUAAAGCGCGCGUAGGUGGCUUGAUAAGCCGGUUGUGAAAGCCCCGGGCUCAACCUGGGAACGGCAUCCGGAACUGGCAAGCUAGAGUGCAGGAGAGGAAGGUAGAAUUCCCGGUGUAGCGGUGAAAUGCGUAGAGAUCGGGAGGAAUACCAGUGGCGAAGGCGGCCUUCUGGACUGACACUGACACUGAGGUGCGAAAGCGUGGGUAGCAAACAGGAUUAGAUACCCCAGUAGUC
rnacentral:rRNA from 1 species